UGAGGAAUAUUGGUCAAUGGGCGCAAGCCUGAACCAGCCAUGCCGCGUGAAGGAUGAAGGCUCUAUGGGUUGUAAACUUCUUUUAUACGGGAAUAAACCCUCUCACGCGUUGGGAGAUUGAAGGUACCGUAGGAAUAAGCAUCGGCUAACUCCGUGCCAGCAGCCGCGGUAAUACGGAGGAUGCAAGCGUUAUCCGGAUUUAUUAGGUUUAAAGGGUGUGUAGGCGGGGUGGCAAGUCAGCGGUGAAAGCCCAAAGCUCAACUUUGGAACUGCCGUAGAUACUGCUGUCCUUGAGUAUAGUUGAAGUAGGCGGAAUGUGUCAUGUAGCGGUGAAAUGCUUAGAUAUGACACAGAACACCGAUUGCGAAGGCAGCUUACUAAACUAUCACUGACGCUGAGGCACGAAAGCGUGGGGAGCAAACAGG
rnacentral:rRNA from 1 species